rnacentral:tRNA from 1 species
UUCCUGGUGGCUCAGAGGUUAAAGCAUCUGCCUGCAAUGCAGAAGACCUGGGUUUGAUCCCUGGGUUGGGAA